UACAGAGGUGGCAAGCGUUGUUCGGAAUUACUGGGCGUAAAGGGCGCGUAGGUGGCCUUCUUAGUCAGACGUGAAAUCCCCGGGCUUAACUCGGGAACUGCGUCUGAUACUGGAAGGCUGGAGUUCGGGAGAGGAAUGUGGAAUUCCUGGUGUAGCGGUGAAAUGCGCAGAUAUCAGGAGGAACACCGGUGGCGAAGGCGGAUCUCUGGGCCGAUACUGACGCUGAGGAGCGAAAGCGUGGGGAGCGAACAGG
rnacentral:rRNA from 1 species